GCCUAACACAUGCAAGUCGAGCGCGCCUUUCGGGGUGAGCGGCGGACGGGUUAGUAACGCGUGGGAAUAUGCCCAAAGGUACGGAAUAGCCUCUGGAAACGGAGAGUAAUACCGUAUGUGCCCUUCGGGGGAAAGAUUUAUCGCCUUUGGAUUAGCCCGCGUUAGAUUAGGUAGUUGGUGGGGUAAUGGCCUACCAAGCCUACGAUCUAUAGCUGGUUUUAGAGGAUGAUCAGCAACACUGGGACUGAGACACGGCCCAGACUCCUACGGGAGGCAGCAGUGGGGAAUCUUGGACAACGGGGGCAACCCUGAUCCAGCCAUGCCGCGUGAGUGAUGAAGGCCUUAGGGUCGUAAAGCUCUUUCGCCUGUGAAGAUAAUGACGGUAGCAGGUAAAGAAACCCCGGCUAACUCCGUGCCAGCAGCCGCGGUAAUACGGAGGGGGUUAGCGUUGUUCGGAAUUACUGGGCGUAAAGCGCACGUAGGCGGAUCGGAAAGUUGGGGGUGAAAUCCCGGGGCUCAACCCCGGAACUGCCUCCAAAACUAUCGGUCUAGAGUUCGAGAGAGGUGAGUGGAAUUCCGAGUGUAGAGGUGAAAUUCGUA
rnacentral:rRNA from 1 species